AGUGAACGCUGGCGGUAGGCCUAACACAUGCAAGUCGAACGGCAGCACAGUAAGAGCUUGCUCUUACGGGUGGCGAGUGGCGGACGGGUGAGGCAUACAUCGGAAUCUACUUUUUCGUGGGGGAUAACGUAAGGCAACUUACGCUAAUACCGCAUACGACCUACGGGUGAAAGCAGGGGAUCUUCGGACCUUGCGCGAUUGAAUGAGCCGAUGUCGCAUUAGCUAGUUGGCGGGGUAAAGGCCCGCCAAGGCGACGAUCCGUAGCUGGUCUGAGAGGAUGAUCAGCCACACUGGAACUGAGACACGGUCCAGACUCCUACGGAAGGCAGCAGUGGGGAAUAUUGGACAAUGGGCGCAAGCCUGAUCCAGCCAUACCGCGUGGGUGAAGAAGGCCUUCGGGUUGUAAAGCUCUUUUGUUGGGAAAGAAAAGCAGCAGGUUAAUACCCCGCUGUUCUGACGGUACCCAAAGAAUAAGCACCGGCUAACUUCGUG
rnacentral:rRNA from 1 species